UGGGGAAUAUUGCACAAUGGGGGAAACCCUGAUGCAGCGACGCCGCGUGGAGGAAGAAGGUCUUCGGAUUGUAAACUCCUGUUGUUGGGGAAAAGAAGGAUGGUACCCAACAAGGAAGUGACGGCUAACUACGUGCCAGCAGCCGCGGUAAAACGUAGGUCACGAGCGUUGUCCGGAAUUACUGGGUGUAAAGGGAGCGCAGGCGGGUAUGCAAGUUGGGAGUGAAAUACAUGGGCUCAACCCAUGAACUGCUCUCAAAACUGUGUAUCUUGAGUAGUGCAGAGGUAGGCGGAAUUCCCGGUGUAGCGGUGGAAUGCGUAGAUAUCGGGAGGAACACCAGUGGCGAAGGCGGCCUACUGGGCACCAACUGACGCUGAGGCUCGAAAGUGUGGGUAGCAAACAGGAUUAGAUACCCGAGU
rnacentral:rRNA from 1 species